rnacentral:misc_RNA from 1 species
AACGCACAUGGCGCCUUCCAGUAUCCUGGGAGGCAUGCCUGUCCGAGCGUCGUUUCAACCCUCGGUGCCCCUCUUCUGGCGGCCCGGUGUUGGGGUUCCACGCCUGGCGUGGUCCCUGAAAAUCAGCGGCGGACCCACGGCGGCCCUUCCCUUGCGUAGUAACUUAUGUCUCGCAUCGGGAGCCCCUGGGGACUUCUAGCCGUCAAAACCUCCUACAAGCCCGCCCCCGCGCGGCACAUGGUUGACCUCGGAUCAGGUAGGAAUACCCGCUGAACUUAA